rnacentral:rRNA from 1 species
AUCCAGACUCCUACGGGAGGCAGCAGUGGGGGAUAUUGCACAAUGGGGGGAACCCUGAUGCAGCGACGCCGCGUGGGUGAAGGAGCGUUUCGGCGCGUAAAGCCCUCUCGGCAGGGAAGAAGGAGGACGGUACCUGACUAAGAAGCCCCGGCUAACUACGUGCCAGCAGCCGCGGUAAUACGUAGGGGGCAAGCGUUAUCCGGAUUUACUGGGGGUAAAGGGGGCGCAGACGGCAGCGCAAGCCAGGAGUGAAAGCCCGGGGCCCAACCCCGGGACUGCUCUUGGAACUGCGUGGCUAGAGUGCAGGAGGGGCAGGCGGAAUUCCUGGUGUAGCGGUGAAGUGCGUAGAUAUCAGGAGGAACACCGGUGGCGAAGGCGGCCUGCUGGACUGCAACUGACGUUGAGGGCCGAAAGCGUGGGGAGCAAACAGGAUUAGAUACCCGUGUAGGC